CCAUCUCUGACCUGCUCCAGGCACCCUGAGUACUUUGACCGAGAACGGAGUUGGAUGGUCCCUACGGUGCCUUUAUAAUAACAGAGGGAUCGGUAAUGGAAGACCACACAGUGAUGAGAGGGGGAGCCUGAACAAGUCACUGGCUUGGCUUCUUCCUGACUUUUUGUUAACAACGUUUACCAACAUCAACAUCUCAUGCCAUGGCGCACUGUGUUUUCAGUUUUCUGUGGACGUUCUUCACCACCCCGGACAGCUUCUCCUGCUCCCUCUUGCACGGCGUGUCCUGUGGGAUCGGCAUGGACAGCGGCUCCAGGUGUUUUUCUAUAUCUCCUGUCUCGACAUUGUUCGUAAGGUCCAUAGCACUGCACAAGCGUUGCUGCCUUUCCUACCCCUGUCCCGGCUGAAA